CUACACAUGCAAGUCGAACGAAACUUUUUGCUUCGGUAGAAAGUUUAGUGGCGGACGGGUGAGUAACGCGUGAGGAACCUGCCUUUCAGAGGGGGAUAAUGUCUGGAAACGGACACUAAUACCGCAUGACAUUUUCUGUUCACAUGGACAGAAAAUCAAAGGAGCAAUCUGCUGAAAGAUGGACUCGCGUCCGAUUAGCUAGAUGGUGAGAUAAUAGCCCACCAUGGCGACGAUCGGUAGCCGGACUGAGAGGUUGAACGGCCACAUUGGGACUGAGACACGGCCCAGACUCCUACGGGAGGCAGCAGUGGGGGAUAUUGCACAAUGGAGGAAACUCUGAUGCAGCAACGCCGCGUGAAGGAAGACGGUCUUCGGAUUGUAAACUUUUGUACCUAGGGACGAUAAUGACGGUACCUAGGCAGCAAGCUCCGGCUAACUACGUGCCAGCAGCCGCGGUAAUACGUAGGGAGCGAGCGUUGUCCGGAUUUACUGGGUGUAAAGGGUGCGUAGGCGGCCAAGCAAGUCAGCUGUGAAAACUAUGGGCUUAACCCAUAGCCUGCAAUUGAAACUGUUUGGCUUGAGUGAAGUAGAGGUAGGUGGAAUUCCCGGUGUAGCGGUGAAAUGCGUAGAGAUCGGGAGGAACACCAGUGGCGAAGGCGACCUACUGGGCUUUAACUGACGCUGAAGCACGAAAGCAUGGGUAGCAAACAGGAUUAGAUACCCUGGUAGUCCAUGCU
rnacentral:rRNA from 1 species